rnacentral:rRNA from 1 species
AACCAGAAGGCGCARUGAAAGUGAAGGCACGGUUGCCGUGCUGAGGUGAGAGCUGUCCUCGGCAGCACAUCAUCGACCGAUCCCAUCCGCACCCUCGUGGCGCGGCGGGAUUCGAGUAAGAGUGUACCUGUUGCGACCCGAAAGAUGGUGAACUAUGCCUGAAUAGGGUGAAGCCAGAGGAAACUCUGGUGGAGGCCCGCAGCGAUUCUGACGUGCAAAUCGAUCGUCAAAUUUGGGUAUAGGGGCGAAAGACUAAUCGAACCAUCUAGUAGCUGGUUCCCUCCGAAGUUUCCCUCAGGAUAGCUGUAGCCCGAAGCAGUUUUAUCAGGUAAAGCGAAUGAUUAGAGGUAUCGGGGAAGAAACUUCCUCGACCUAUUCUCAAACUUUAAAUAGGUAAGAAGUCCGACUUGCUCAAUUUGAAGCCGGACACAGAAUGCUGGGUUACUAGUGGGCCAUUUUUGGUAAGCAGAACUGGCGAUGCGGGAUGAACCGAACGCUGAGUUAAGGUGCCAAAGUCGACGCUCAUCAGAUCCCACAAA